GCUACACAUGCAGUCGAGCGGCAGCGACAUAAACAAUCCUUCGGGUGCGCUUAUGGGCGGCGAGCGGCGGACGGGUGAGUAAUGCCUGGGAAUAUGCCCUGAUGUGGGGGAUAACCAUUGGAAACGAUGGCUAAUACCGCAUAAUCUCUUCGGAGCAAAGAGGGGGACCUUCGGGCCUCUCGCGUCAGGAUUAGCCCAGGUGAGAUUAGCUAGUUGGUGAGGUAAGAGCUCACCAAG
rnacentral:rRNA from 1 species